rnacentral:lncRNA from 1 species
AAGCUCAUGCCAUUCCUUGUGAAUUUAUUCUGACUACUGUGUUGGCCAAACUGAAAGUUCCCUUGAAAAAAAUGGGAAAAUGCUUCCAGCAAAGAGCACUUUGGCAUCAACACCCUCCAAGCAUGUGAUUAUCUACUUACUGUAGGCCUAGUUAAACCUGGUUAAUUAGUGAAGACUCCUGUGAAUAGCAAAGGUCACAG